AGAGUUUGAUCCUGGCUCAGGACGAACGCUGGCGGCGCGCCUAACACAUGCAAGUCGAACGGGCGAGAGAGAGCUUGCUUUCUCAAGCGAGUGGCGAACGGGUGAGUAACGCGUGAGGAACCUGCCUCAAAGAGGGGGACAACAGUUGGAAACGACUGCUAAUACCGCAUAAGCCCACGGCUCGGCAUCGAGCAGAGGGAAAAGGAGCAAUCCGCUUUGAGAUGGCCUCGCGUCCGAUUAGCUAGUUGGUGAGGUAACGGCCCACCAAGGCGACGAUCGGUAGCCGGACUGAGAGGUUGAACGGCCACAUUGGGACUGAGACACGGCCCAGACUCCUACGGGAGGCAGCAGUGGGGGAUAUUGCACAAUGGGGGAAACCCUGAUGCAGCGACGCCGCGUGGAGGAAGAAGGUCUUCGGAUUGUAAACUCCUGUUGUUGAGGAAGAUAAUGACGGUACUCAACAAGGAAGUGACGGCUAACUACGUGCCAGCAGCCGCGGUAAAACGUAGGUCACAAGCGUUGUCCGGAAUUACUGGGUGUAAAGGGAGCGCAGGCGGGAAGACAAGUUGGAAGUGAAAUCCAUGGGCUCAACCCAUGAACUGCUUUCAAAACUGUUUUUCUUGAGUAGUGCAGAGGUAGGCGGAAUUCCCGGUGUAGCGGUGGAAUGCGUAGAUAUCGGGAGGAACACCAGUGGCGAAGGCGGCCUACUGGGCACCAACUGACGCUGAGGCUCGAAAGUGUGGGUAGCAAACAGGAUUAGAUACCCUGGUAGUCCACACCGUAAACGAUGAUUACUAGGUGUUGGAGGAUUGACCCCUUCAGUGCCGCAGUUAACACAAUAAGUAAUCCACCUGGGGAGUACGACCGCAAGGUUGAAACUCAAAGGAAU
rnacentral:rRNA from 1 species